rnacentral:snoRNA from 1 species
GUUUAUGAUGAUCUUCCACUUUUCACGACGGUCAACUGUUUCAUCCUUAACUUGUUUGGUUUAGGAAUGUUGAUGAUAAUCUGCCCGUGACAGGGCGUGGUACUGAGC